rnacentral:rRNA from 1 species
UAGGGAAUUUUCGUCAAUGGGGGGAACCCUGAACGAGCAAUGCCGCGUGUGUGAAGAAGGUCUUCGGAUCGUAAAGCACUGUUGUAAGUGAAGAAUGCCAUAUAGAGGAAAUGCUAUGUGGGUGACGGUAGCUUACCAGAAAGCCACGGCUAACUACGUGCCAGCAGCCGCGGUAAUACGUAGGUGGCAAGCGUUAUCCGGAAUCAUUGGGCGUAAAGGGUGCGUAGGUGGCACGAUAAGUCUGAAGUAAAAUGGCAACAGCUCAACUGUUGUAUGCUUUGGAAACUGUCGAGCUAGAGUGCAGAAGAGGGCGAUGGAAUUCCAUGUGUAGCGGUAAAAUGCGUAGAUAUAUGGAGGAACACCAGUGGCGAAGGCGGUCGCCUGGUCUGUAACUGACGCUGAGGCUCGAAAGCGUGGGGAGCGAACAGGAUUAGAUACC